UACGUAGGGUGCGAGCGUUAAUCGGAAUUACUGGGCGUAAAGCGUGCGCAGGCGGUUUGUUAAGACAGGUGUGAAAUCCCCGGGCUCAACCUGGGAAUGGCGCUUGUUACUGGCAGGCUAGAGUGUGUCAGAGGGAGGUAGAAUUCCACGUGUAGCAGUGAAAUGCGUAGAGAUGUGGAGGAAUACCGAUGGCGAAGGCAGCCUCCUGGGAUAACACUGACGCUCAUGCACGAAAGCGUGGGGAGCA
rnacentral:rRNA from 1 species